AUGAACAGUACACCUAUGUCUUCUUUUGUAGUAAGAAAAGGUUCAUGGACUGAAGAAGAAGAUUUCCUCUUGAGGAAAUGUAUCAACAAGUAUGGUGAAGGAAAGUGGCAUCUUGUUCCCAUAAGAGCUGGUCUGAAUAGAUGUCGGAAAAGUUGUAGACUGAGGUGGCUGAAUUAUCUAAGGCCACAUAUCAAGAGAGGUGACUUUGCUCCGGAUGAAGUGGAUCUCAUUUUGAGGCUUCAUAAGCUUCUAGGAAACAGAUGGUCACUUAUUGCUGGUAGACUUCCAGGAAGGACAGCGAACGAUGUGAAAAACUAUUGGAACACAAACCUUCUAAGGAAGCUAAAUACUACUAAAGUUGUUCCUCGUGAAAAGAUUAAGAAUAAGCGCGGAGAAAUUAGUACUAAGAUUGAAAUAAUAAAACCUCAGCCUCGGAAAUUCAUAUCAAACACAAAGAGGAAUAUUACAAACAAUAUUGUAAUUGUGGACAAGGAGGAACAUUGCAAAGAAAUAAUAAGUGAGAAACAAACUCCAGAUGCAUCGAUAGACAACGGAGAUCAAUGGUGGGAAAAUUUACUGGAAAAUUGCAACAACGUUAACGACGUUGAAGGAGGAGGAGGAGGAGGAGGAGGAGGAGGUGUAACUAAUUAUGAAAAAACACUAACAAGUUUGUUACAUGAGGAAAUAACACCACCAUUAAAUGGUGGAGGUAACUUCAUGCAACAAGGACAAAGUGAUGGUGGGAUGAUUUUUUUGUUGAUAUUGAUAUAUGGGAUCUACUUAAUUAA